CCUUCGAUAGCUCAGUUGGUAGAGCGGUGGACUGUAGAUGAGAAACAAUGCAGAAUUAGUAAUCCAUAGGUCGCUGGUUCAAAUCCGGCUCGAAGGA
rnacentral:tRNA from 1 species